ensembl:lncRNA
UUUUUCUCUUUUGUUUUUUUCUCCAGGAACUAUACCGGCACAGGUUGACCUACUGAACGGUGACCCGGAAAGAGUUCCAUUGGACUCAUUGCCAAUAAGUGGCUCUGCUGUCGGGGACAAGAUUUCAGGAGAAGGUGCACUCUGUCCAGGUCCGACUGAGACUGAAAAUUGAAACUCUACCUAAAGCAAGCUGAAAAGAUUUUCAGAACUAAGAUAUUUGGCAUAGAUCAAAUGGGCUGAUUAGAUUUGUACUAUUUUUUGUGAUGUGUAUAUGAAGAAUAAAAUACAGAAUUGAUAUGAAAGAUAAAUAUAUUAGUUUACUAUUUUACAAUAUUGUGUAAUCUCUAGAUAAAGGUGAUUACUGCACUUCCCUGUUUAUUGUUUUAUCAAAGGCUUGACACAGUGGAUCAUGAAAUAUUGCUGCAGAGAUUAAAUAAUGCUGGUCUAUUAAAUCAUUUAAAAAUUAUUGAAGUAAUCUCAGAGAGGCUAUUCGGGUUAAAUAAAGGUUAAAUAAAUAAAUAAAUAAAUAAAAUGGCUCUUUCCACAGGUGAUGGCUAAUUCCCUGCUUUUCUUGUAAUACUUGAUUUAAUCUCCCAUCCCUUCAGUUCUCUCAUCUUCGUGUAAUCUCUAAUCAAAUAUCAUUUGUUGGAAUACCCCCUCUCAUAAAGGGGUCUUCUACUCUCAUGUUUAGUUAAUCUGUCAAAGAGUUCUAGUCUGUUGUCUGCAAAAAUACAACAAAAUACAACAAAGAUUCCUUCUUCUCCCUUCCUGAAUUCCUCUCUUAAUAUCCUUCUGGUGAAUGAAAAAACCAAAUCCUUUAGUCUAGGACUAUUUGUGAUGUACAUUAAUCUAACAUCUUAAUAUCCCAUCUGUGCUAACGAGUGAUAAUCCCAAUAAUACAGAACUAAAAUAGAGUAAAUGAGGUUGAGAUCUAGACAUGUAUUUACAGUUCUCUAGUCUCUUUUAUCCCACUCAUUUUUAUUCAAAACAUCCUACUGAAUUUGUUUUUACUGUCUACAACAAUAGUGUUUAGUUUAAAGGGUAGACGUGCAUGCACCCCUUUGUUCCUUAUUAACUUACAACUGUACCACACUCAAAAUAUCACUCAGACCCUUCAUACAUGACAUUUAAACUGUUCACUUUCUGUAAAUCUCUCUAAUCAGGAGUAAUGCGCAUGUGUAUUUAACUAGUCUAACAAAAUUUAUCUACUAUGAGCUUGGUUUCAAUUUAAUACAAAUUUGUUUCCUUCACUGAGCGCAAAGAGACUGUAACUGAACUAAACUAACAAACAUGUCACUGCAGUGAGACCCACAUCAGCACAACAACAGGUCACAUCAGC